AUGUGCUCCCGCCCGAGUACGACCGGGCCGUCGCCCUCCGCCGGCGCAACAUGCCGCAUGACACUUUUCUGGCCGAGAUGCUGGACCGUCUCAUGGCACGCUGCGAAAUCGACACGAUCACGGCGUUCAUCGACGGCAUCACCGGAUUCUUGGAAGCGGGCGGUGGCCCUGCUGACGGCGACGCACGUCGACGCGCCAAGACCCUGCGCCUGGACUUCUUCCAGGCACACGAUGGCGGCUGCGUCGUCGACCGCCUGA
rnacentral:rRNA from 1 species